GCCAGGCACAGUGACACUUGCCUGUAAUCCCAUUGACUCAGGAGGCUGAGGCAGGAGGAUCACAGCCUGGGGCAGCCUGGACAACUUGGUGAGACCCUGUCUCAA
rnacentral:sRNA from 1 species